rnacentral:rRNA from 1 species
AGUGAACGCUGGCGGUAGGCCUAACACAUGCAAGUCGAACGGCAGCACAGGAGAGCUUGCUCUCUGGGUGGCGAGUGGCGGACGGGUGAGGAAUGCAUCGGAAUCUACUCUUUCGUGGGGGAUAACGUAGGGAAACUUACGCUAAUACCGCAUACGACCUACGGGUGAAAGCCGGGGACCUUCGGGCCUGGCGCGAAAGAAUGAGCCGAUGCCCGAUUAGCUAGUUGGCGGGGUAAGAGCCCACCAAGGCGACGAUCGGUAGCUGGUCUGAGAGGAUGAUCAGCCACACUGGAACUGAGACACGGUCCAGACUCCUACGGGAGGCAGCAGUGGGGAAUAUUGGACAAUGGGCGCAAGCCUGAUCCAGCCAUACCGCGUGGGUGAAGAAGGCCUUCGGGUUGUAAAGCCCUUUUGUUGGGAAAGAAAAGCAGUCGGUUAAUACCCGAUUGUUUCUGACGGUACCCAAAGAAUAAGCACCGCUAACUUC